CCAAUAGCGUAUAUUAAAGUUGUUGCAGUUAAAAAGCUCGUAGUUGAAUUUCGGGAUCAAUAUAUCGGUCGUGCCAUUGGUACGCACUGGUAUCAUUGGUUUCUCCUUUCUGACGAACCAUGAUGUCAUUAAUUUGGUGUUAUGGGAAGUUAGGACUGUUACUUUGAAAAAAUUAGAGUGUUUAAAGCAGGCUUUAGCUU
rnacentral:rRNA from 1 species